GCUUACUUAGCUCAAUGUUUAGAGAAUCACUGAUAAAUUCUGAGGUUGUGGGUUCAAGUCCCAUAGUACACA
rfam:Puccinia sorghi strain RO10H11247 Scaffold_2241, whole genome shotgun sequence.